UGAUUUUACCCAUUAGUUUUUUAAUUUCAUCCACUAUCCUUUUUUUCCUAAAACUCUUUCUCUGCCUCUUACUCACACGAUUUUGUCCACCUUCCUUUUUUAAUUAAAACUUUUUUUCCCCAAACUCUUUCUCUCCCUCCCACUAUCACACGUUCCUCCCACUCUUUCUUAUUUCUUUUACCUUAUUCUUUCAAAUGGCAGAUUUGUUUGUUGCCCACGAUUCUUUACUUCUCUACAGAAGUUUAUCGGUGAAUCUAUCUAAUAGGGCUUUUAAGACGAAAGUGUAUAAAGGAAUAGCGGAAAACAGAGAAGGAACCGACUCCAUUCAAGGGUAAUUUCUGUCUUCAAAGUUCUGGUUUGAAUCAGUCAAGCCUGAUCCUGGUUCAAGCCGCUUCAAAUUGGCCUCUCCUUACAGCUUUUCUAGGGUUCUUCAACCGAUUUGGAGGCCGAUUUCGGCUUUUAAAACCCUGAUUCUACCAGAUGUUGAUUUUUCACAUAAAAGGGGCUGACCAGAUUACUACCCAAAUUGCUGUUGGAAAAAGAAUUUUGGGUAAAGAGACAAAAUUAGAUUUGUUCUUCCCGGAGUGUAGUCUUGUAUUGCUUGUGGUAACUGUUGCAUGUACUUUUUCAAAUCGAUUGUUUAGUUAUGUUAAUGCAUGUUAGAUUAUGAUAAACCAAUGAAUUUCUUGGGAAAUGGCUACAAAUUUCAUGGUCUUCUUUUACUUGUUUGUCUGAAAGAAAUGAGCAUUUGGCAAGUAUUAUAAACCCCAUCCUUUCUUAUAGAAUGCUUCUAGAUAGCUCUAGAGUCAUUCAAGUAUCUUACCAUUUUCUGUUUGCAUUUUCUAACUAACAUUUUUGUAUAUGAACACUUGCAGAAAUGGUGCAUAUCAGAGAUCCUUAGAAAUGAGAUUUUUUUUAUCAAUCAUGCUUUCCAACUAACUUGUUGACAAUAUAAUAUUUGUUCUACUCUCAUGACAUCAUUCUUAGUUUUUAGUUUACUGUUUAAAUUUUUCUUAAUGUCUUGUUGAUUAGGGCAGUAUUCAUUUAAUCUUUUGUUUUGAUUUUGUAAUCAUACUUGUUCUCUUAUAACUCUAAAAUGACAUCCUAUGGUAGACAUGAUGAUCCCUCGUGGGUUUGCAUUCCUUACUCUCA